AAUUAACAAGGGAGUAUAGUAGAUGGAGAACAUACCCACUGCUCUCAUCAUGGACAAAGAAAAUUAAGUAGCCAUCAUCUUCUUCACAUGUAUUAUCAGGAUUCUGGGGAACAAAGAUUGCCUCUGAUCCGAAUCUCCCAGCCUUAAGUUGAGCCACAUGAUUGAUGAACUUGAUAGAGCUUACCUGCCUGUGUAGCGUUCAUUCACUAUGGGAAAAUCUACUGCUGAUGCAGAUAAUCUUUUCUGUGAAGCCUGACCACUUUUAAGAGCCGUUGAAAACGUCAAGAUCAGCAUUCUCAAUCCGACAGCUGAUAAGAACUACUUCGUCUCCUUCCUCCCAAGCAUUUGCUGACAAUCAAUUGAGUACAUUAAUGUUCAAUACAGGAAAUAUCUAGAAAUAUCCUAUGAUGAUUAUGAGUAAUAACAGUUCGUGUUAAAACAUUGAACUGCUUGUUAUUUUCUUACUCAAGAUUAUUAUGAUUGAGAUUCAAGAGCCAGUCUAACCUAGUUUGGUUUCAGGUUGUGCAUAGAGCAUCUCCAAGGGAAGGUGUAAAUGGAGAGGUAAAGUGAAUUAACUACCAUAUUUACAUGUUCUUUACAAAAAUUCAUUCUCCAAGGGAAGAGGCAUUUGUAAUAUACCUUCUUCAAUUUUAAAAAGGCAUCUUUACCUCUUCUUCACACAAAAGGUAAAAAGUUAGUUAUUUUUGUAAGAGCUCCGAAUAGUCAUUGGCUUUUCGGAAAACAAUGAAAUUUACAUAUGAAAAGAUUCAGUUUGAUCUA